UGGGGAAUAUUGGACAAUGGGGGAAACCCUGAUCCAGCGACGCCGCGUGGGUGAAGAAGGCCUGCGGGUUGUAAAGCCCUUUCGGUUGGGAAGAAAAGUUGCGACCUAACACGUCGCGACCUUGACGUAACCAACUAAAGAAGCACCGGCUAACUCUGUGCCAGCAGCCGCGGUAAUACAGAGGGUGCGAGCGUUAAUCGGAAUUACUGGGCGUAAAGCGCGCGUAGGCGGCUUGGCAAGUCGGGUGUGAAAUCCCCGGGCUCAACCUGGGAACUGCAUUCGAGACUGCUUUGCUAGAGUAUGGGAGAGGGUAGUGGAAUUUCCGGUGUAGCGGUGAAAUGCGUAGAUAUCGGAAGGAACAUCAGUGGCGAAAGCGACUUCCUGGACCAAUACUGACGCUCAUGUGCGAAAGCGUGGGGAGCAAACA
rnacentral:rRNA from 1 species